AUUGAACGCUGGCGGCAGGCUUAACACAUGCAAGUCGAGCGGAGAUGAGGUGCUUGCACCUUAUCUUAGCGGCGGACGGGUGAGUAAUGCUUAGGAAUCUGCCUAUUAGUGGGGGACAACAUUCCGAAAGGAAUGCUAAUACCGCAUACGUCCUACGGGAGAAAGCAGGGGAUCUUCGGACCUUGCGCUAAUAGAUGAGCCUAAGUCGGAUUAGCUAGUUGGUGGGGUAAAGGCCUACCAAGGCGACGAUCUGAAGCGGGUCUGAGAGGAUGAUCCGCCACACUGGGACUGAGACACGGCCCAGACUCCUACGGGAGGCAGCAGUGGGGAAUAUCGGACAAUGGGGGGAACCCUGAUCCAGCCAUGCCGCGUGUGUGAAGAAGGCCUUAUGGUUGUAAAGCACUUUAAGCGAGGAGGAGGCUACUGAGACUAAUACUCUUGGAUAGUGGACGUUACUCGCAGAAUAAGCACCGGCUAACUCUGUGCCAGCCGCCGCCGUAAUAC
rnacentral:rRNA from 1 species